GGCAUCUCGCUGUCUGCGCUGGGCACGGAGCGGCGCGCGCGCGCCCGUCUUUCCCUCGGCGGCCCCCGCGGCUCGGACCCGGGCCGGCAGACAGGCCAUCCAUCAUCCGCCCUCCUCCCGCGGAGCGCCGCAGCCGCCGCGGCCAAUCCGGCGGCAGGUGGGGCCGCACCUGCGCGACAGCCCGCCGCUUCCCUCCGCUCCCUUCGCCGCGCCUCGCGUGCUAGCGGUGCCCUUGUGAGCCACUGCGUUCUCCAAGGCCAGAACGGGACAGUUGACGAUGGUCGUACUUCUCCAUGUUCUGAGACCAGUUUAAACAAAAACAAAAACCAGACAACAACCUUGCAAGGGAAAGAAUUCAGAGUAAAUAAACAGUCUUUUUCUGGGAAGUAAAAUAUUUCCCUAAGAUGGAGAAAUUGAGAUGAGAGCUCAUCCACAAGAUUACCCAUCAAUGAGCACCAAUAGCAACCAAAUCCACUAGAAGACUGGGAGCUUUUAAGUCAAGAAACUUACAUCAGUAUCAUCAUUCCAAGAAGCGGUAUCCAAGCUGUUUUAUCGAAAGUGCGCAUGGGAGGGAUCUCAUCAGAGAGAGAGACAUCUUCGCCACUGCCAUGAAGUUUCAAGUACAGAACUCUUCCUCGUAAUCAAACUAUUUCUAUGAACAAUUCACUCAUCAUUGUGGGAAAGUCUAUUUUUCAUCUUAACACACAAACAGACAAUAACAAAAUUUGUGAUUUGGAUAAUCUGGAUCUGAUGUUCAUGCUCAAAAUGGAGGCAAUUCGUAAUACUGGUCUGAAGCAUUUAGUCAUUCACUGAGCAGAUACGUUAGGAGCAACAGGCAUGGGCUGUGUUUUUCUAGGCACUGUGAACACAGCAGUCAACGAAGUCAAAAACCUGUGCUCUUAAGGGACAUGAAUUGCCAAAUGGAAACACUAAGUUUUUCUAUUUAUGACCUAAAGCUAGUCAAAUAUCUCCAGAAGUAAGGUAGCUGAGUGAAGUGGUUCAUAAUCUUUCCAUGGGAGCCAAAUCCUCGGUGCUGUGACUCUUUUAGAUAAAUGAUAGUAAAAAUGAAUCAAAAGUUAAUUAGCUUGCACCUCAAUAAUCCAGUCUCCAUCACUGAUGGUCAUCGUGGAAUCUGCGUACAGAGGCAGCUGUAUACAGAUGACAGAGACAGCUCUAACACGUGACACAUUUAAGCACACAGAGGCGGAAGGACAUAAAGUUCCUGGUUGAUUUCCCUUUGGUGUUUGUGGGGAAAUAUCAAGGUCAUAAAAAGUCAGUUUCUAAUAAUCCCUCCAGUCCUCCAUUCCAUUCCCUAAUUUGUAUGCAAUGGCAUUUAACAUUUUGACUUUGCUUAAAAUAAAAUGUGUGUUUGUUUUAAAA